rnacentral:rRNA from 1 species
GAUGAACGCUGGCGGCGUGCUUAACACAUGCAAGUCGAACGAGGUCCAUGGAGCUUGCUCCGGAAGACCUAGUGGCGAACGGGUGCGUAACACGUGAGAAACCUGCCCCGGACUUUGGGAUAACAGUUGGAAACGACUGCUAAUACCGAAUGCCGUCGUUGAGUCGCAUGGCUCGACGACGAAAGGUCCGCCGGUCCGGGAGGGUCUCACGGCCUAUCAGCUUGUUGGAGAGGUAACGGCUCACCAAGGCAUCGACGGGUAGCUGGUCUGAGAGGAUGAUCAGCCACACUGGGACUGAGACACGGCCCAGACUCCUACGGGAGGCAGCAGUGGGGAAUCUUGCACAAUGGGCGCAAGCCUGAUGCAGCAACGCCGCGUGCGGGAAGAAGGCCCUAGGGUUGUAAACCGCUUUCAGGAGGGAAGAAAAUGACGGUACCUCCAGAAGAAGGUGCGGCCAACUACGUGCCAGCCGCCGCCGUAACAC